AUACGGAGGAUCCGAGCGUUAUCCGGAUUUAUUGGGUUUAAAGGGUGCGCAGGCGGCCAUUUAAGUCAGCGGUUAAAUCGUGGGGCUCAACCCCAUUCUGCCGUUGAUACUGGGUGGCUUGAUUGCGGUCGAGGUUGGCGGAAUUCGUUGUGUAGCGGUGAAAUGCAUAGAUAUGACGAAGAACAUCGAUUGCGUAGGCAGCUGACCAGACCGCAAAUGACGCUCAUGCACGAAAGUGCGGGGAUCGAACAGGAUUAGAUACCCUGGUAGUCCGCACAGCAAGCGAUGAAUACUUGUUUUCGGCGAUAUAAUGUCGGAGGCAAAGCGAAAGCGAUAAGUAUUCCACCUGGGGAGUACGCCGGCAACGGUGAAACUCAAAGGAAUUGACGGGG
rnacentral:rRNA from 1 species